rnacentral:rRNA from 1 species
GACGAAGGAUGCAAGCGUUAUCCGGAAUCAUUGGGCGUAAAGGGUGUGUAGGUGGCGUUAUUAGUCUUCUGUUAAACCCCCGGGCUUAACCCGGGAUCUGCAGGGGAAACGGUAACGCUCGAGGGUGCGAGGGGUGAAUGGAACUCAUGGAGUAGGGGUGAAAUCCGUUGAUAUCAUGGGGAACACCAAAAGCGAAGGCAAUUCACUGGCGCAUUCCUGACACUGAGACACGAAAGCGUGGGUAGCGAACUGG